rnacentral:rRNA from 1 species
AUGAACGCUAGCGACAGGCUUAACACAUGCAAGUCGAGGGGCAGCACAGGUAGCAAUACCGGGUGGCGACCGGCGCACGGGUGAGUAACGCGUAUGCAACUUACCUAUCAGAGGGGGAUAACCCGGCGAAAGUCGGACUAAUACCGCAUGAAGCAGGGGCCCCGCAUGGGGAUAUUUGCUAAAGAUUCAUCGCUGAUAGAUAGGCAUGCGUUCCAUUAGGCAGUUGGCGGGGUAACGGCCCACCAAACCGACGAUGGAUAGGGGUUCUGAGAGGAAGGUCCCCCACAUUGGUACUGAGACACGGACCAAACUCCUACGGGAGGCAGCAGUGAGGAAUAUUGGUCAAUGGCCGAGAGGCUGAACCAGCCAAGUCGCGUGAGGGAUGAAGGUUCUAUGGAUCGUAAACCUCUUUUAUAAGGGAAUAAAGUGCGGGACGUGUCCCGUUUUGUAUGUACCUUAUGAAUAAGGAUCGGCUAACUCCGUGCCAGCAGCCGCGGUAAUACGGAGGAUCCGAGCGUUAUCCGGAUUUAUUGGGUUUAAAGGGUGCGUAGGCGGCCUUUUAAGUCAGCGGUGAAAGUCUGUGGCUCAACCAUAGAAUUGCCGUUGAAACUGGGGGGCUUGAGUAUGUUUGAGGCAGGCGGAAUGCGUGGUGUAGCGGUGAAAUGCAUAGAUAUCACGCAGAACCCCGAUUGCGAAGGCAGCCUGCCAAGCCAUGACUGACGCUGAUGCACGAAAGCGUGGGGAUCAAACAGGAUUAGAUACCCUGGUAGUCCACGCAGUAAACGAUGAUCACUAGCUGUUUGCGAUACACUGUAAGCGGCACAGCGAAAGCGUUAAGGGAUCCACCUGGGGAGUACGCCGGCAACGGUGAAACUCAAAGGAAUUGACGGGGGCCCGCACAAGCGGAGGAACAUGUGGUUUAAUUCGAUGAUACGCGAGGAACCUUACCCGGGUUUGAACGCAUUCGGACCGAGGUGGAAACACCUUUUCUAGCAAUAGCCGUUUGCGAGGUGCUGCAUGGUUGUCGUCAGCUCGUGUCGUGAGAUGUUGGGUUAAGUCCCGCAACGAGCGCAACCCCUAUCUUUAGUAGCCAGCAUUUCAGGUGGGCACUCUAGAGAGACUGCCAGGGAUAACCUGGAGGAAGGUGGGGACGACGUCAAAUCAUCAUGCCCCUUAUGCUCUGGGCUACACACGUGUUACAAUGGUUAGGACAGCGAGCAGCGAACCUGCGAGGGUAAGCAAAUCUCUAAAACCUAGCCUCAGUUCGGAUUGCACUCUGCAACUCGAGUGCAUGAAGUCGGAAUCGCUAGUAAACGCAGAUCAGCACGCUGCGUUGAAUACGUUCCCGGGUCUUGUACACACCGCCCGUCACACCAUGGGAGUCAGUAACGCCCGAAGUCAGUGACCCAACCGUAAGGAGGGAGCUGCCGAAGGCGGGACCGAUAACUGGGGUG